CUUCCGCAACUCUCCCUCUCCCACGUCUCUCUAUUCUCUUUUCGGUUUCAUUUGUAUUCCUUGUUGUUGGCGUUACUUUGUGGUUUCCGAAUCUCAUACCCAUAGCUCCCCAUUUCCGUUUUCACUUAAAAUCAAUUCCUCCAUUGCAGCAGUUCACACAGUGCUCCCUCGCGUUCCUCCAGUCGGCGGCUGUUUCUCUUCCUCUUGUUCAGGUUUUCAUCUUCAAUUUUUGGUCCUUGCCGUUAGGUUGAGUGGCAUUUUGUGAAUUUCUGGUUGUUGUGCGUCGUGAGUAUUUCGAGUUGGUGUGUUUCGGGUAGGUAUUGAAGCCUUUGUUGGAAUUUCUUAUUGCUGUAGCAUACUCAUAUAGUUUCUUCUUCGAAUUUAUUUUGAUUUACCCUCAUUUCUGCAAUUUUGUCUUUGCCGUGAGGUUUGAGUUUUCGUUUUGUGGGUUUCUGAGUUUGUCUUUCGUGUAAUCGUUGAAGCCUUUGCUGGAGUUCUAGUUGCCAUAGGUGACGAGACGGAUAGAGACCGUAUUCAAGUCAUAGAUAAUACGCUGCAAGAGUCAGAUGAUGUGGUGAGUUCAAAUGAGGACCUGAAUUAGAAUGCUGUUUGUGUUUAAGCUGAGGAGAUGUUGGUAGAAGAAGGACUUCUGGUGUUUUUAGUUUUAAUGCCUUUGAGUUUUAUUUAUGUCUUGAGUUUAGUAAGAUUUAUAAAAUAUUUAGUUGGUUUGUUAUGACUACCGGGAGGUUAUGGACCCCUUUGAUUUAUUAUUUUUGCAUUAAAGAUUGUGUGGAGUUUGUAAUGAGAUUAUUGAGAAGAUAUGAGAUUGAUUUCAUUUAUGAA